rnacentral:rRNA from 1 species
UCCUACGGGGGGCAGCAGUGGGGGAUAUUGCACAAUGGGGGAAACCCUGAUGCAGCAACGCCGCGUGAGUGAAGAAGUAUUUCGGUAUGUAAAGCUCUAUCCGCAGGGAAGAGAAUGACGGUACCUGACUAAGAAGCCCCGGCUAACUACGUGCCAGCAGCCGCGGUAAUACGUAGGGGGCAAGCGUUAUCCGGAUUUACUGGGUGUAAAGGGAGCGUAGACGGCAGCGCAAGUCUGAAGUGAAAUCCCAUGGCUUAACCAUGGAACUGCUUUGGAAACUGUGCAGCUGGAGUGCAGGAGAGGUA